AGACGUCUUUUUGUUUUUAUUAAAUUUCUUUAUUACUUUAUUACAUGUCUUUAUUACUUAAUUAAUUGAUAAGAUAUUUUUGGUCUAACAAUAUAUUUUAGCUGGUCUAAAUUCUAAGUUAGACGCAAAUUUGCGUAUAGGCUAUAUAAGGUUCCCUUCUAGACAAGCGCAUAAAUUGCUGUUUCGGUCGCAAAUUUUCAGUAAUUUCGAUCGGUGCAUCAAACGAUAUAGGCCUAAACUAAAUUAAUAAAUUCAUAACUAAAUUCAAGUUCAUAGAUUUGAUAUUUAUAUUGUAGUUGAAAACAGCCCUGUGAGAAAUUCAUAGUAAAGUUCAUAAAAAGUAAAAAGUUCAUAGAAUUAAAAUUGAUGGAGAAGGUCAGACUAUUUCCUUCAGAAAGAUCGUUGGUUACCUAGCUCAUUUAAAAUAUCCUAAACUUUUUGACCCUGCCUCUUAAAAAAUCGGAAUCGAGAAUCGUUAGGAACCGGAAUCGAAACAAGGAAUCGAAAUCGGAAUCGAAAUCGUUCAAAUUCAAACGAUACCCAACCCUAAUUAUGGUACACUUAUAAUAAGUGUUUAUAUUCGGACUAUUUCAGACCUGACUGGUAGGACCCGCCGCAGAGUAUCACAGUAACUGCGUGACUCAUCAUAGACAUACACGGAGAAAAGUAGUUCCGGCUACAAGAUGCGUGCAGUUCUGUUUAUUAACUGAUAGAGGGCCAAAAAUCGCAGAUUGCAGCUUUAAGUUGGGUCAGGGUAAACAAAGACAGAAAAGAAUUGCUAAAGAGGCGAGACAUAUAGCUAGUAAGAUGGAACCUUUCACCUCUGAUUUACAGCAGUUGGAAAGCAUUCAAGGUUCUCAGAACAGCUGUGACAAAGAAACUAUUCUGUUUACCUGCUACCCGGCUGCUUUAUUGCCCCCUGGGAUAUGAGACUUACUCCUUCCUCCGGGACAGCAGAAGACAGUCAUUAAACAGGUGAAGGUACACAGGACGAGUGGUAAGUUUAAACUUAGACCCAGAUAUAUUCAAGUUCUGUGUGUCCACUUCUAGAAGUUCACCAUGUUUGACUAGCCAACGAGACUGAGAGAUGAGAGGGAAAAUCUAAAAUAAAAUAAAUAGAAUUUUACAAAAGAAUUUUUGUAGGUAAAAAAAUAUAGACAUGAUUUCUAACAGACCGUUUUAGACAUUACAAUGAAUGCUUGAUGUUAUACCUUGCCCUCAAAGUUUAUUUUCUUGUUUAGAUGAAUUAGUUCUUCCAUCCUCUUCAUGGACUGCACACUGGAGUUACAUUCCUUUAUUAUCUAGAGCAGCAGAGCACAUUUAGUUUUCAUUUCAUGAUUUUUAAAACAUUGUGACAAUUUUACUUUCCUCUCUUUUUUUACUCACCUUUUUGAGCUCAUUAAGUGCUUUGGUGGCAGUGUCCUCAUCUCGUGAUCCAGGCGUUGUUCUCUUUAGGAUAUUCUAUAAUGGACACACAGUUCAUUAACACAAGACCAUUUAAUAUUAGAAUUUAGCAAGCCUUAUUCUAAAGCUUGAUGAUAUCUUUAAACUUAUAAUAUUUGAAAAGAUGGAUAUUGUGGAUUCUGUCCAUGUUGGAAUACCUCUACUAGCAUUUUGAGUCGUGUGAUCCUUUGAAAAGGAAGGAUAAGGAAUGAUGUAAGAGGCAGCCUCUGGCAUAUUGGGUCCUCUUCCAGGCGGGCAAGGAUUCCAGGGAAACGGGGAUUAUCUUGCCUAAGAAAACACCACAAAACAAAAGCAUGAACCUCUUAAACAGGGCAAUAAUUACAACAUUGUUAUGAUUGUUAGAGAACUGUUUUGCAGUAAGAAACUAUUUACAGUAGCCGCUGAUAGGUUUGUUCCUGAUAGGCUUGAUUGGUGACAUAAGGCAGAUAAACCCUCCGCAGUGCAGGACAGUGGUCAAGGACAAUGUCACACACGUCAAAACGCAAAAUGUCCCCUUCUAAUCUAUGCUCCAGAUCUAGAAGAAACCUAUGGACACAAGGAGAAUUCAAAAGGAGAGAGAGAAAAACAUCUCUCAGCAGAAGGCUCACUCUUUCAAAAAUAGCACAAAUUGUAUUUACUCUUCAUCUUUAUUCACCUCUCACUGACUUCUUUCACAUCAGGCAGUUUUGAGAAGAGCCACUGCCUCUCCUGCAUCCCAAGACACUCACACAGCUCAGGAGACGUCAUAAAAUGGUCAACUGCAAUAGACAAGCUGCCAAAAUUUGCUGGUUGAUAAAAAACAAAUCAAAACAGACUUUCUGAAUGUGGAGUCACCUCCUGCAGUUUACGCUCUUCAUUGCUGAAGUUGUCGAGUUGUCCACUGGAUCGAACAUCAGGAAUGUCCUGCCAAAGGGA